AAGGCAGCAGGCACGCAAAUUACCCACUCCCGGCACGGGGAGGUAGUGACAAAAAAUAACGAUACGGGACUCAUCCGAGGCCCCGUAAUCGGAAUGAGUACACUUUAAAUCCUUUAACAAGGAUCCAAUGGAGGGCAAGUCUGGUGCCAGCAGCCGCGGUAAUUCCAGCUCCAUUAGCGUAUAUUAAAGUUGUUGCGGUUAAAAAGCUCGUAGUUGGUUCUGCGUCCCAUGCUGUCGGUUCACCGCCUGACGGUGCAACUGACAUGUCGUGGGAUGUCCUGUCGGUGGCGGCCUUGACCCACUGCGUGCGGAGGGAUUCCGAAGCACGCUGCUGCGCGUCAGGCCGCCGAUUCAAUCCUGCCGCGGUGCUCUUGAUUGAGUGUCGAGGUAGGCCGACACGUUUACUUUGAACAAAUUAGAGUGCUCAAAGCAGGCUAAUAAUGCCUGGAUAUUGGUGCAUGGAAUAAUGGAAUAGGACCUCGGUUCUAUUUUGUUGGUUUUCGGAACCCGAGGUAAUGAUCAAUAUGGACAGGCGGGGGCAUUCGUAUUGCGGCGUUAGAGGUGAAAUUCUUGGAUCGUCGCAAGACGCACUAGAGCGAAAGCAUUUGCCAAGUAUGUCUUAGUUGAUCAAGAACGAAAGUUAGAGGUUCGAAGGCGAUCAGAUACCGCCCUAGUUCUAACCAUAAACGAUGCCAGCCAGCGAUCCGCCGAUGUUCCUCCGAUGACUCGG
rnacentral:rRNA from 1 species